rnacentral:lncRNA from 1 species
CUUUGCUAAUAUUGGCAUAGUAUCAUUUAUAGAGAAGGCUCUCUGAAAAAGGGUCUUACUGUGUUAUCCUGAGUCAGUAUUUGAUUGUUCAGUGUGGAACGGAAAAACCUCAGUUCACUAUUGACUUUGGCACAAGAAUAGACAGUGGCUCCUUGACCCUGUGGAUGUGAAAAGUAAAUUAGUCAAGAAAUCAUACUUUGGGUUUAAAAUUACAGUGCUUAAUUAUUACAUUUAAUUAAAAGAAAUACGUAAAAAAAAAAAAAAAACUCGAUUUGAUCACUUACACGCUUGUCUCGAGAGAGGCCUGCUCCGAUGUAACCAUCUGUCUCACCACUGAUCUCAAAAGUAAAAUUAUCUGCAUUUCCACCUACUCCUCUUGUAGAGAGGAAAUAGCAGGAACCUUGUGCACUUGGAUUACAGGAAGGUGGAGCAGAGAAACAUGCUCUAUCCCUCUUGCAGUUAUCCCUGCCAGUGAUUUCCUGCAAUCAAAAAGAACUUGAGCUUUAACAGCCAAGAUUGUCAUUUCCAUUUUUAAACAGGAAAAAGACUUGACUUACUAUUGAUUGAGUAUUAGAACUUGACGUUUUUAUAAUGUUUGUUACAGUGAGGGGGCCUGACUGGGUCGGGUUUGCGGUGAUGUUGGCAGGGCUUGUUUGGUUCAGGUUGGUGGUUAUGUUGGGAGGCUGUGUUUGGGUCGAGUUGGUGGUUAUGUUGGGAGGCUGUGUUUGGGUCGAGUUGGUGGUUAUGUUGGGAGGCUGUGUUUGGGUCGAGUUGGUGGUUAUGUUGGGAGGCUGUGUUUGGGUCAGGUUGGUGGUUAUGUUGGGAGGCUGUGUUUGGGGCAGGAUGUUGGUUAUGUUGGCAAGGCUUGUUUGGUUCAGGUUGGUGGUUAUGUUGGGAGGCUGUGUUUGGGGCGAGUUGGUGGUUAUGUUGGGAGGCUGUGUUUGGGUUCAGGUUGGUGGUUAUGUUGGGAGGGAGUGUCUGGGUCAGGUUGGUGGUCAUGUUAGAAGAUAUCCAGCUGCCUAUGGAGUUGCUACUGCUCGUUGUAUUGUUCCCAUUGACUCCAAUCAUCAUGCAUGCUAUCCCCAGGAUAGCCACAAAGAUCAAAUUGCUCCUCAUGAGUUACGUUUAUGAGCUUAUAUAUCUGUUAAUCCUGCAGUUUUUG